UUCUAUCCCUCUCUUCUUUCUCCCCUACCACCCGCAGCCGCCGGCUUCUCUUCCACCCAUCUCCUCCUCCCCGUGCCUUCGUUCCUCCCGUCCCGUUCUCCAAUCGUCAACUUCCCUGUUCAGUCGAGUCGCUCGGAGGCAGUACCGUGGCAAGCACCACCGGUGCGACGUCCAGGCCCGCCCACACCGUCCGGGGGUUCCGUGCACGGCUAGAUCUGUCGAUCUACCUGCCGGAUCCACUGCGGCAGCAACGCCGGCUGCUACCACCUCUCCGACCCCGACCACCACACCACCUCAACUCCAGCGCAUGACCCUCUACUCUAUCCAUCCUUUUCGUCCACGGCCAGAACCAGCAAUCUUGCUGCCGGAUCGGUGGCGGCGGUUCCUCAUGGUGGCCAUCUCCCUUCAGCCUCCUCCCGACGACGCGCAGGGGGGCUGGGUCUAGGCGGCCAUCAGCCGCCCCACGGUUAGGGUACUCAUCGUCAGCAUCGACCUCGCACCUGUCUUCCCCAUCAAUGGCGCGCGUCUCCUCAAGGAGGACAACACCGACACCGCGUGUAGUGACUGGUGACCGCAGCCACGACGAUGUCCACUUCUACUUCGUCUCUGGCUCCGUUUCUUGAUGGACCCUGGAGCACCGGCCGAAGUGAUGUCUAUGGCUCUGGCCAAAAUCGUCGAGGCUCGGGGUGCGAAGAAUCGCAAGCACCCCGCCGAGACUACCGCAGACAAGCUCAAGGCCAUCGCCGUGUCCAAGGCCCCCUCUCUGGGAUCCCUCAUUAAGCAAGUCUAGAACCAGGUCCGCGAUGAAGAUGAAGUUCUCAAAGUCAUGUCGUGUGAACUGGAAGACCUGAGGAUGAGUUCUACUGCUAAACU